rnacentral:rRNA from 1 species
GGCGAACGGGUGAGUAACACGUGAGUAACCUGCCCACAACUUUGGGAUAACGCUAGGAAACUGGUGCUAAUACUGGAUAUGUGCUCCUGCUGCAUGGUGGGGUUGGAAAGCCCGGCGGUUGUGGAUGGACUCGCGGCCUAUCAGCUUGUUGGUGGGGUAGUGGCCUACCAAGGCGGCGACGGGUAGCCGGCCUGAGAGGGUGACCGGCCACAUUGGGACUGAGAUACGGCCCAG